UGGGGAAUUUUGGACAAUGGGCGAAAGCCUGAUCCAGCAAUGCCGCGUGUGUGAAGAAGGCCUUCGGGUUGUAAAGCACUUUUGUCCGGAAAGAAAUCCUUGGCUCUAAUACAGUCGGGGGAUGACGGUACCGGAAGAAUAAGCACCGGCUAACUACGUGCCAGCAGCCGCGGUAAUACGUAGGGUGCAAGCGUUAAUCGGAAUUACUGGGCGUAAAGCGUGCGCAGGCGGUUUGCUAAGACCGAUGUGAAAUCCCCGGGCUCAACCUGGGAACUGCAUUGGUGACUGGCAGGCUAGAGUAUGGCAGAGGGGGGUAGAAUUCCACGUGUAGCAGUGAAAUGCGUAGAGAUGUGGAGGAAUACCGAUGGCGAAGGCAGCCCCCUGGGCCAAUACUGACGCUCAUGCACGAAAGCGUGGGGAGCAAAACAGGAUUAGAUACCCUGGUAGUCCACGCCCUAAACGAUGUCAACUAGUUGUUGGGGAUUCAUUUCCUUAGUAACGUAGCUAACGCGUGAAGUUGACCGCCUGGGGAGUACGGUCGCAAGAUUAAAACUCAAAUAAUUGACGGGGUCAUAGCUGUUUCCU
rnacentral:rRNA from 1 species